UUACCACCAUGACUGCAUGAUGGCGACACAAAAAGAAGCGGAGCCCCCAGCUGUGAAUGGAUCCGACCAGGAGCUUCCAACACAACAGGAGCUCUGGGAGCCGACACCGGAGAGGGGACAUGUGGAUGUCCUUCUAGAUAUUAGCGAGGAGGACUUCAUGAAAGAAAUGGAGCCACACGAGUAUCACUGUUACUCCGGUUUGGAAGAAGCUGUUCAUGGUUGGGCAAGAGUUGCUCCACUGAGCUGUAUAUUUUUGACUCAAAAAACCUGCAAAAAAACAAAGCAGGCUGACAAGCCAAUGCCCUUGUGCGUUGACCCGGCAACCCCUGAUGCCAACAGCUCAACCUGGAUCGCAGAGAACCGCUGUGAGUCUCAUGGGGGCCCGCAAAACAGCUUCAAGAAAUCCCUCGCACCGAACCAGCACGCGGGCUGCUCGGGUAACACCGACUCGGCAGCUCUGCAGAAGGAUGCUUCAGAAUGGCCCGUCCUCACUCCCAUCCAGACAACCACGUCAAAACCUCCACUCAAAGAAAAGGCCGAGAGGGAAGAGGCACUCAGGGCCACGUCUGCGCUGGCUCACCACUUCCGCUCAAAAUACUCGGACAACGGAGCAGCUAAGCCUCAGAAACACAGGCCUCAUAUGAUGUUUCCCAUUAAAAACUUAACAUUUUUACCACCAAUUACGUUACAGCCCGCGAAUCACCGGAAAGCCAGUGGCAAGAAGGCCCAAGAAGGGGGAUCUACAGGGGGAAAUAUCUUCAAUGCCAAGAGCAGGAUGAAGGCAGCUGGCGUGGAGCACGUUGUUGACCCUGAGCUUCCCACUUACUCUGCAGUCCUGACCUCCAAGUACCGGCCAUGUCAGCUCAACCCCGACUUGUUCUCUGCACCCAAUAGGUAUCAAGUACCCAUGUCUUCCAAACCUGAGACCGGGCACCGCCAUAGCUACGCACUGGCCAGGAGGCUCGCACAGGUCCUCCAGUCCAGCGCAGCAUCAGGUCCACACGCCCACGUGUACCCGAGCAGGACUAUUUCCCACGAGUUCUUCUUCAGCUGUUGCAGUUACCUAGCAACGGUGCAGCUACCUCAUAAGGAGCGAGGCAGUGCGUCUGCUUCCACUUAA
ensembl:lncRNA